rnacentral:misc_RNA from 1 species
UCCCUAUUACUAGAGCAGUCUGAAUAGAAAAAUACAACUAUUCACAAGGGUUGCGCUCGUUGAUGGACUUAACCAAACAUCUCACGACACGAGCUGACGACGGCCAUGCAACACCUGUCACAGAGUUCCCAAAGGCACACUCUACUUUCGUAGUGCUUCUCUGGAUGUCAAGCCCUGGUAAGGUUCUUCGUUUAACAUCGAAUUAAAGAACACGAUCCACCGCUUGUGCUGAUCCCCGUCAAUUCCUUUAUGUUUUAGUCUUGCGACCGUACUCCACAGGCGGGAUACUUAACGCGUUAGCUUCGCUACCGAGGGGGUCGAUACCCCCGACAGCUAGUAUCCAUCGUUUACGGCGUGGACUAC